GUUCAUGCAUACACAUGUAAUAUGAAAUGCGAGAGAAGAAAUAUAAUCAGUGAUUAGAGAUUUCAUUAUUUGACUUCAUUAUUCUUGUUAACUUGAUUUACGGAAAAUAACAAGGAUAUGUUUAAACACAAUAAUUACAAUUAACGUGUACAAGCAUUUCAACCAGGAAAUCCGUAUGCAUGGUACUUAUUAAAAUAGUUAGUAGCAAAUACGCCGUUAUACAAUGUUAGGUCCGAAACACUCUGUAUGUAUAAUGAAAUUAGGUAUACAAAAAUUAAACAAAUUGAAUAGGGCCAUACAAUUACAAGAUUACCCCAAUUCAAGUUAUGCACAGUUACAAUAUCUACAAAAUCAAUGAUUAAAAACGACCUUCUAAGUAUUUUUCGACGAAAUACGUGACUUGUGCACUGCAAACUUUACUCUAUAAAUUAGGUUUUUUUUCUUCACGUUAUUGCAAGAGCGCCGCGGGAAAAAAUAACGUUAUACAACGGCAAAUGACGUAAGGCUGCUACAACGUCACAGUCAGCGUAAGGGGGAAAAGUUAAAAUAACUCGUUUUAAAAUUAAGAAAAAAAAAUAUUGCUUGACUUCAUGCAUCAAUUGUUUAUUCUUUAUUGUUUAUUAUGUUACAUCAAAAAUAGUGCGACUUUUUGAAAAUUUAUUUCAAGCUCCGUAAUCUACCGAGCUCAUCCCGUAAAAUCCCGAGCUCUCAGGCUCAAUUGUACAUCGGAUACCUUAACAGGAAAAAGAUCGAAAUCAUCUCAAUGAGUGAUGAUUCAACCACGGAGAGUUACUGCCUUCUGAACAGUAGUUUCGAGAGACAACUGCUAUCUCUUGAGGGAAAUACAAACACGGCCUCGGCCAGCACCUCCACCGCGGCGAUGGAGCAAGAGGAGCCCGAGGAGCCCGAGAAAUAAUUGGAAAAAUUAACAGAGGCCCCCUUCCCCCCAGACAGGAGGAGCAAAUGGACAUGUUUUAAAAUUAAUAAAUAUUUUUUAAAAGUGUUUGCAUUGUUAGUUGUGUAUAUUGCAAUUGAAUUGCUUGAAAGAAAAAAAAAACUGGUAUCUAUAGUUCCAGAAAUCUGGAGACUAGGCAAUGGAUUGAUUAAUAAAAUAAAUUCUG